AAAGACACCGUUUUUCCUUUUAUUUUUUAUUUCUAACUUUACAACAGAGGUCAACCCUUUCCAUCUCUCUCACCUCUUCCCAUUAACUCAACUAGGUCCUAUCCUGAAUCUACUUAAAAAUGAACUGCUCAUCAGCCUGUAUAUUAAAAAAGAAAUUAGGGAAGACCCGAUGCUCUAGGUGCUAGAUUGUUCUGGCAUUCACCACCAAACGGUUCAAGUCGUCAGAAAUUGGGGAAGACCAGACGACUCUCUUCCUCCAUCGUCAUCGCUCAGCUAGUCUGGAAGCCUCGACCAAUCGAUUCGACUCUCUCUCUGUCAUUCUCUUUCACCGAUUCGACUCUCUCGCUUCUCAUCUCUCACUGAUUACAUAGUCUUCGGUCACCACCUUCACAGAGCCCUUCUUAGCGUCUUCGGUGGCGUGAAGUUGUGGGACGGAUCUUCACGGAGCCACUAAUUUGCCACUCCAAAGGGCCACAACCAUAAUAAUAUUAAAGUUUUGAAUUGGGAAGUGCAUACCUAUCACAAGGGGUGGUGGCAUCUAUCAAGAACACAUGAACAAAGAUCUUGAGAAAUUAAGAACCGGAGCAUGGGUAUUCACUUCUGCUCUCACAUUUUAAAGAAAGCCAUCACUGAUCUUCUACUCUUUUUAUUAUAAAGUUCCUUGGAUGAUACUUCCUGUGAUGCUUUCAAUACACCAUUCUAAUCAAGAAGGGGCACACUUGAAUGUGAUUUUGAAGAUUGGCAUGGUGAAGAACCGAAAAGCGAAACUCAUAUACGAAAUAUAUACAGGUACUUCGUCCCAAUUUUUUGUCUUACACGGUCAGUUAAGCACCAAACCUUUCUCGAUCAUUUAUUUACUAAAUUUGUGAGCAAUAUUUGUUUUCUUCAUAUAUUUUGAAGGAGUGUAUAUUGAGAGUGCUAUUACAUAGAGAUGUAAAAGCUAGAUAAGCAGAUAUGGACUCAACAAUUGAAUGAGCAUUAUUAAUGUGACAUGAAAACUAAGAGAAAGAAUUAGUGGCAGGUCUGAUGAUGAUAAUGAUUUAUUGUUCACCAUACAAAUGAUGGUUACUUUGUUUCAUUUCUUGGAAAAAGUAAACAAUCACACAGUAUGCUUAGAGGCUCUCCAGGUGCUUUGCUGUCUAUAUCACCACUCUUUCCAAAAAAUAUUAACCUGUUUUGGCCAAAUCAGGUACAGUUUAGUCAAUAUUGAUUUAAAAUUUUAUGGUUCACAUUUGAAUUCAUUUUCUAAUACAUUUGAAGCUCUUUUGAUGAUUGUUGAGUUAUAUGACUUCAGUUCUAAGUGCAGACAUAUCAAAUGCAACAAGUACUUAAUAUAUAUAUAUAUGCACACACACAUAUUUAUAUAUAGUGAUCUUAUCAUGAUUGAGAGAGAGAAUAGAGAAAUAUUGUGAUAUAUAUAUAUUAUUGUUUCUUUGGAUAGUCUGAUUCCACCAUAUUGUAUUAAUGCGUUUAAAAUAUAUCAGAUUGGAAUAAUGGAACAAAAUUGAUAGAGGAUCAAAUAUUGCAUGAAGUCAUCUUCAUCCCAACCACUUGAAUAAUUCUUAAAACAUGAAUUAUUUUCUCAUCAUAUUCAUAUGUUUAAUAAAGAACCUAAUAUAGAUUUUUUUUUUUUUAAAAAUAUGUCAAAAAACUGAUGGAAGAUAAAUUAAUAUCUAAGUUUAAAAUAUAUUUUAUCAAAAUUAUGCCCAUUCUACUAAUAUGUGAUGUUUGGAUUUUGUUGGAGUAAAACCUGGAAUAACAAAGGAGCAUGAAAAGAUUAAGAUGUGACAAUAUUAACAAAAAUAAGUAUGCACGUAUCCAUUUUGCCACCAUGAACUCAAUACCAGAUCUCUACCCAGUGCCUUAAGAGUGUCCUACUCAGCAUCAAGAAGCUUAACCCUUUGAAACCCACUGUCUCAGAAGCCUCACUACAGUACUGGCUUUUGUCCCCCAGUUUGCACCUAUACUAUUUACACUACUCCACACCAUAGAAACUAAAACCAAACACACUAAUCCAAAAUCACAA